rnacentral:rRNA from 1 species
UACAGAGGGUGCGAGCGUUAAUCGGAAUUACUGGGCGUAAAGCGUGCGUAGACGGUUUCGUAAGUCGGGUGUGAAAUCCCCGGGCUCAACCUGGGAAUUGCAUUCGAAACUGCGAGGCUAGGGUACGGAAGAGGGAAGCGGAAUUUCUGGUGUAGCGGUGAAAUGCGUAGAUAUCAGAAGGAACACCCGUGGCGAAGGCGGCCCCCUGGGCCGAACCUGACGCUGAGGCGCGAAGGCUAGGGGAGCGAACGGG